UUAGUUUCUCAGCUCGGAGAUUUAAUCAGCAGUUUAUCGAAAAUAGUGCACGUUUUAUUUCUUAACUUUGAGGUUAUCAAUCGCUAAUCGUACCUGAUUGGUGAUGCGGCUUUGGAUUUUGUUAAUUCUAUUCUGCCUUGUUGUCGAUGUAGGCUCGUGGAGAAGACGUAGAAGACGAAGAAGGACCCCAUCAUGCUAUGCAAGGAAUGGAGGAUGGGGUGGCUGGGGUGGUUGGAGCAGUUGUUCCUGUAACCAUGUUACUGGUACUGGUACUUGGACUCGCUCCAGAUCCUGCAACAGUCCUACUCCAUACUGUGGUGGCAGCGGUUGUCCAGGUUCGUCCAUUAUGACGGGAAGUUGUGACAGUCAGUGUUGUCGUAUCACUAACGGAGCCUGGUCUGGAUGGGGCGGUUGGAGUAGUUGUUCCUGUAACCAUGCCACCGGUACUGGUACUUGGACUCGCUCCAGAUCUUGCAA